rnacentral:rRNA from 1 species
GAUGAACGCUGGCGGCGUGCCUAAUACAUGCAAGUCGAGCGAACAGACGAGGAGCUUGCUCCUCUGACGUUAGCGGCGGACGGGUGAGUAACACGUGGAUAACCUACCUAUAAGACUGGGAUAACUUCGGGAAACCGGAGCUAAUACCGGAUAAUAUAUUGAACCGCAUGGUUCAAUAGUGAAAGACGGCUUUGCUGUCACUUAUAGCUGGUCCGCGCCGCAUUAGCUAGUUGGUAAGGUAACGGCUUACCAAGGCAACGAUGCGUAGCCGACCUGAGAGGGUGAUCGGCCACACUGGAACGGAGACACGGUCCAGACUCCUACGGGAGGCAGCAGUAGGGAAUCUUCCGCAAUGGGCGAAAGCCUGACGGAGCAACGCCGCGUGAGUGAUGAAGGUCUUCGGAUCGUAAAACUCUGUUAUUAGGGAAGAACAAAUGUGUAAGUAACUAUGCACGUCUUGACGGUACCUAAUCAGAAAGCCACGGCUAACUACGUG